rnacentral:rRNA from 1 species
UACGUAGGGGGCAAGCGUUGUCCGGAUUUAUUGGGCGUAAAGAGCGUGUAGGCGGCUUUACAGGUCCGUUGUGAAAACUCGAGGCUCAACCUCGAGACGCCGGUGGAAACCGUAAAGCUAGAGUCCGGAAGAGGAGAGUGGAAUUCCUGGUGUAGCGGUGAAAUGCGCAGAUAUCAGGAAGAACACCCGUGGCGAAAGCGGCCUUCUGGACGAGGACUGACGCUGAGAUGCGAAAGCGUGGGGAGCAAGCAGG